UUAGCCGUUAACACAGACAGCCACCACACCCCGCUGUCCGCCAGAGAAGUAUUAGUGAAAAGCUAGAAACUCAAAGGACUUGGCGGUACCCCACACCAACCUAGAGGAGCCUGUCCCAUAAUCGAUACCCCACGCUAAACCUAACCGGCUCUUGACAACCAGCCUAUAUACCGCCGUCGCCAGCCUGCCUAAUGAUAGAUGCAUAGCAGGCAUAAUAGCCCCCGCUAACACGUCAGGUCAAGGUGUAGCUAAUGAGCCGGGCAAAGAUGGGCUACAUUUUCUACCCACAAGAAAACCCACCACCCACUCACUGAAACCUGAGUCUCAAGGCGGAUUUAGCAGUAAACCAGAAGAGUUAAGCCUGGUUGAAGCCUGCUCUGGGGUAU
rnacentral:rRNA from 1 species